UGGGGUAUUUUGCACAAUGGGGGAAACCCUGAUGCAGCGACGCCGCGUGAUUUAGAAGGCCUCCGGGUUGUAAAAAUCUUUUCUAUGGGAAGAAAAUGACAGUACCAUAGGAAUAAGGACCGGCUAAUUACGUGCCAGCAGCCGCGGUAAUACGUAAGGUCCGAGCGUUGUCCGGAAUCAUUGGGCGUAAAGGGUACGUAGGCGGGUAAGCAAGUUAGAAGUGAAAUCCUAUAGGUCAACUAUAGUAAGCUUUUAAAACUGCUCAUCUUGAGGUAUGGAAGGGAAAGUGGAAUUCCUAGUGUAGCGGUGAAAUGCGCAGAUAUUGGGAGGAAUACCGAUGGCGAAGGCGGCGUUCUGACCAUAACCUGACGCUGAGGUACGAAAGCGUGGGUAGCAAACAGG
rnacentral:rRNA from 1 species